UUUUGUUCCUCUUCCUAGGAACUUAUUGAUUACAGUUGGGGAGAACCUUACACACCUUCCUCUCACAAACACCUUGCAAAAUUCUUUGAUGUUAUUGUCAGAAAUAUCCUCAGGGAUGUUCACCACAAACUCCUUCACAAGACCUUCAAAACAUUGGGGUAAUGCACUAACUGUUUUCAUCAAACCAGCAGACUUGAUCAACUC
rnacentral:lncRNA from 1 species